AUUUUGAUCUAUAAAAAUAAAUGAGAGUAAAUUUGUACCAUUGGAUUCUAUUUCAUUUGUAUUAUUAGAACUUUUCUGAACGAAAAAACCCCUUGUCUAUUCCAUUUUUGUCCAAUUUGACCAUUUGAUCAAAACAAAAGCCCUAAUCCCUUUCGAGAAAGGAGGGUUCAGCGUGAGUACGAAAGGCGCCGCGUGCGCGACAACGCCUCUGGAGGUCUCAAGUCCCAACGACGACCGACGACGAGCAACGGCGAGCUGUUCUCACAGAGAAACGGCGACCACUGGUGACCUGAGCUUCUCCAGUGGUGACCAAGGAGGGGCUGCGCGAAAAGGCCAGAAUAAGUUUCAGUCCCAACGACGACCAACGGUGAAGCAGCAGUGAGCUUCUCUAACUGAGCAAUGAUGAACACUGGUGAGUGUAGGAGAGAUUCUUGACUGCUGCUGCGUGACUGCCCGAGCUUAUCCAACGGUGACUAACGGUGGGGCUCUGUUGCAAUACCAGGGAAUUGCAGAAACCUCACAUUGAGAUUUGGUUCUUUCAGCAGUAGGACCUCAGGAUUGAAGACUGAAUUAUUAUUUGAAGAGUGAAGAUGAAAAAAGAAGAAAAAGGAGCACUUUUGCGAUUGAAACAAGUUUGGCCCGUUGGAAGCAGAGGCUGUUUGUGCGGAUCAGCCAAUUUGACGGAAUAAAUUGUACUUCCUAAGAGUGAACCAGCUGUUGAGCCUUAUACCAUUGGAAAGAUAUGGAAGUUAGCUUUCAGAGGAAUUUUACGGUUCGUGAUUCCGAGUUUCCUAGACGAUGUUACGAAGAUUUUCGUACAAGACGUCGGUCAGCCAAGUCUACGCGGAAGUUGCAAAGUCUGUUGGGUGUCUGUUGGGUUUUUCAAGUCAUAAUUCAGUUGAAGCCCAAAGCCCAAGAUAGAACGUGUUGAGCUGACUUUAAUCCUAUUUCGAAUGGGUUUGAAGUAAUUAUUUGGGAAGUUUACUUGCCACAUCAUUCAAUUAUGCAAUACAAGAUGUCACAAGACCUAAAUAUGUUAGGACUUGUCAUAUAAGGAGGGCCUUUGGGAACGUGAUUUUGGGGAUUCUCUGCGACAUUUUGGGGGAAGAAGAGCAGCAGCCACCAACCAUCUUUUCGAAGAUUUUCAUGUUCUUAAAAUUUUUAAUUAUGUUUUCUUAUUCUAUGAGUAACUAAACUUUUUUUUCUAGGGUUAGCCCUAGCAUGGAUGUUUAUGGUUUUUAAUGUUAUUCAUUGGAUUUCUAGCUUCUUUUAGAUGAAUGCUUAAUCACUGUUUGAAUUUU